rnacentral:rRNA from 1 species
GAUGAACGCUGGCGGCGUGCCUAAUACAUGCAAGUCGAGCGAACAGACCAGGCGCUUGCUGCUCUGUCGUUUGCGGCGGACGGGUGAGUAACACGUGGAUAACCUCCCUAUAAGACUGGGAUAACUUCGGGACACCGGCGCUAAUAGCGUAGAAUAUAUUGCAGCGCAUGGUUGAUUAGUGAAAUACGGUGGUUGUGUCACUUCUCGAUGGUUACGCGCUGCUUUAGCUAGUUGUGAAGGUAAAGGGUUAUCAAGGCGACGAUGCGUAGCCGACCGGAGUGGGUGAUAGGCCACCCUGGAACGGGGACACGGUCCAGACUCCUACGGGAGGCCGCAGUAGGGAAUCUUCCGCAAUGGGGGAAAGCCUGACGGAGCGACGCCGCGUGAGUGGUGAAGGUCUUCGGAUCGUAAAACUCUGUUAUUAGGGAAGAACAAAUGUGUAAGUAACUAUGCACGGCUUGACGGUACCUAAUCAGAAAGCCACGGCUAACUACGUG